rnacentral:tRNA from 1 species
AAUCUUGUAGCUUAUAUAUAGAGCAAUUUACUGAAGAUAAAGAAGACUAAAAACCUUUCAUUUU